rnacentral:rRNA from 1 species
CUGCGAGACCUACAAGUCGAGCAGGGUCGAAAGACGGACUUAGUGAUCCGGUGGUUCCGCAUGGAAGGGCCAUCGCUCAACGGAUAAAAGCUACCCCGGGGAUAACAGGCUUAUCUCCCCCAAGAGUUCACAUCGACGGGGAGGUUUGGCACCUCGAUGUCGGCUCAUCGCAUCCUGGGGCUGUAGUCGGUCCCAAGGGUUGGGCUGUUCGCCCAUUAAAGCGGUACGCGAGCUGGGUUCAGAACGUCGUGAGACAGUUCGGUCCCUAUCCGUCGUGGGCGUAGGAAAUUUGAGAGGAGCUGUCCUUAGUACGAGAGGACCGGGAUGGACAUACCUCUGGUGUACCAGUUGUCGUGCCAACGGCAUAGCUGGGUAGCUAUGUAUGGACGGGAUAAGUGCUGAAAGCAUCUAAGCAUGAAGCCCCCCUCAAGAUGAGAUUUCCCAACUUCGGUUAUAAGAUCCCUCAAAGAUGAUGAGGUUAAUAGGUUCGAGGUGGAAGCGUAGCGAUACGUGGAGCUGACGAAUACUAAUCGAUCGAAGACUUAAUCAAUUU